rnacentral:tRNA from 1 species
GGCUCCAUAGUGUGUAGUGGUUAGCAUGUCUGCUUUACACUCAGAAGGUCCUGGGUUCGCGCCCCAGGUGGAGCCA